rnacentral:rRNA from 1 species
UACGGGGGGAGCAAGCGUUGUUCGGAAUCACUGGGCGUAAAGGGAGUCUAGGCGGUUCGGUAAGUGGGAUGUGAAAUGCCCGGGCUCACCCCGGGACCUGCAUCCCAAACUGCUGAGCUUGAGUACAGGAGAGGGUGGGGGAAUUCCAGGUGUAGCGGUGAAAUGCGUAGAUAUCUGGAGGAACACCGGUGGCGAAGGCGCCCACCUGGCCUGCUACUGACGCUGAAGCUCGAAAGCUAGGGGAGCAAACGGG